GCCGGGGAUCUUCGGACCUGGCGCUAGUAGAUGAGCCCGCGUGAGAUUAGCUUGUUGGUGGGGUAAUGGCCUACCAAGGCAACGAUCUCUAGCUGGUCUGAGAGGACGAUCAGCCACACUGGGACUGAGACACGGCCCAGACUCCUACGGGAGGCAGCAGUGGGGAAUAUUGGACAAUGGGCGAAAGCCUGAUCCAGCAAUGCCGCGUGUGUGAAGAAGGCCUGAGGGUUGUAAAGCACUUUCAAUCGUGAAGAAAAGUUGCAGGCUAAUACCCUGUGACCUUGACGUUAACGAUACAAGAAGCACCGGCUAACUCCGUG
rnacentral:rRNA from 1 species